rnacentral:rRNA from 1 species
AACGAACGCUGGCGGCAUGCCUAACACAUGCAAGUCGAACGAGACCUUCGGGUCUAGUGGCGCACGGGUGCUUAACGCGUGGGAACCUGCCCUUAGGUUCGGAAUAACUCCCCGAAAGGGGUGCUAAUACCGGAUAAUGUCUUCGGACCAAAGAUUUAUCGCCUUUGGAUGGGCCCGCGUUGGAUUAGCUAGUUGGUAGGGUAAAAGCCUACCAAGGCGACGAUCCAUAGCUGGUCUGAGAGGAUGAUCAGCCACACUGGGACUGAGACACGGCCCAGACUCCUACGGGAGGCAGCAGUGGGGAAUAGUGGACAAUGGGCGAAAGCCUGAUCCAGCAAUGCCGCGUGAGUGAUGAAGGCCUUAGGGUUGUAAAGCUCUUUUACCCGGGAUGAUAAUGACAGUACCGGGAGAAUAAGCUCCGGCUAACUCCGUG